rnacentral:rRNA from 1 species
UACGUAGGGCGCAAGCGUUAUCCGGAAUUAUUGGGCGUAAAGAGCUCGUAGGCGGUUUGUCGCGUCUGCCGUGAAAGUCCGGGGCUCAACUCCGGAUCUGCGGUGGGUACGGGCAGACUAAAGUGAUGUAGGGGGAGACUGGAAUUCCUGGUGUAGCGGUGAAAUGCGCAGAUAUCAGGAGGAACACCGAUGGCGAAGGCAGGUCUCUGGGCAUUAACUGACGCUGAGGAGCGAAAGCAUGGGGAGCGAACAGG